rnacentral:rRNA from 1 species
CCUACGGGUGGCUGCAGUGGGGAAUAUUGCACAAUGGGGGGAACCCUGAUGCAGCGACGCCGCGUGAGUGAAGAAGUAUUUCGGUAUGUAAAGCUCUAUCAGCAGGGAAGAAAAUGACGGUACCUGACUCAGAAGCCCCGUCUAACUACGUGCCAGCAGCCGCGGCAAUAAGUGGGGGGCAAGCGUUAUCCGGAUUUACUGGGGGUAAAGGGAGCGUAGACGGGAGAGCAAGUCUGGAGUGAAAGCCCGCGGCCCAACUGCGGGACUGCUUUGGAAACUGCCCGGCUAGAGUGCUGGAGAGGUAAGCGGAAUGCCUAGUGUAGCGGUGAAAUGCAUAGAUAUUAGGAAGAACACCAGUGGCGAAGGCGGCUUACUGGACAGUAACUGACGUUGAGGCUCGAAAGCGUGGGGAGCAAACAGGAUUAGAUACCCGGGUAGUC